rnacentral:misc_RNA from 1 species
GAACGCACCUUGCGCCCCUUGGUCAUUCCGAAGGGCAUGCCUGUUUGAGUAUCAUGAACACCUCAACUCUUGUGGUUUCCCACAACGAGCUUGGACUGUGGAGGUUUUGUUGGCCCUGUGGUUGGCUCCUCUCAAAUGGAUCAGCUUGCCGGUGUUUGGUGGCGUUACGGGUGUGAUAAUUAUCUGCGCUCGUGGUCGCCUCCAAAUGACCUCCAGUGAUGGAGGUCCACUGGAGCUCAUAAAUGUCUCUCCCCAGUGAAGACAGCCUUUGAACGUUCGAUCUCAAAUCAGGUAGGACUACCCGCUGAACUUAAG